GAAUGCCCUCAGGGUGCAGGCCCUGGCUUCGCGGCCCGGUAUGAAGCCUCUCUGGCCGGCGUAGACCAGUCUGGGCAUUUACAAUUGUAGUCUGGUUGCAAGGAUCUUAGAAAAGAGCUUCACAUGUUAAGAAGAAAGAUAGGGCGAUAGUUUCCACAGUUUUCUGGGUUUUUGCCUGGCUUGGGUAUUGCUGUGAUUGUGGCUGCU